rnacentral:lncRNA from 1 species
AAAAUCAAUUUGGCUCGUUUAAUUUUCAUAAAAUUUUGACAAAGUAUUUAUUUUGACCCUUUGGCAAAAAUAUUAAAAUUUCAAAAAAUUUGAACCAACCGUUUUAUCAGAAAAAUUACACUGGUUAUAUAGCAGUUUGACAAACACUUAUUUUGAUGAUUGAGAAGCUUAAUAUUUCCUAAAGACACAGCGUAAUUAAAACGUUUAGCUGAUUUUACAUAGUUAUCUCCCUGUAGUGUUAGGUAGCAC